AGGGUUUGAUUAUGGCUCAGGAUGAACGCUAGCGGCAGGCUUAACACAUGCAAGUCGAGGGGUAACGGGGAAGCUUGCUUCCGCCGACGACCGGCGCACGGGUGCGUAACGCGUAUACAAUCUACCUUGUACUGGGGUAUAGCCUUUAGAAAUGAAGAUUAAUCCCCCAUAGUCUCUUAGAGUGGCAUCACUUCUAGAGUAAAGGUUACGGUAUAAGAUGAGUAUGCGUUCUAUUAGUUUGUUGGUGUGGUAACGGCACACCAAGACUACGAUAGAUAGGGGCCCUGAGAGGGGGAUCCCCCACACUGGUACUGAGACACGGACCAGACUCCUACGGGAGGCAGCAGUGAGGAAUAUUGGACAAUGGAGGCAACUCUGAUCCAGCCAUGCCGCGUGCAGGAAGACUGCCCUAUGGGUUGUAAACUGCUUUUAUACAGGAAGAAACACCUCUACGUGUAGAGGCUUGACGGUACUGUAAGUAUAAGGAUCGGCUAACUCCGUGCCAGCA
rnacentral:rRNA from 1 species